GAGAAGCCGCAGCAGCUGAGCAGAUUCUGAGAAACCCCAGAGACGCCGAGGGGAUGUGUGGGACAGACGACUUGGGCCGCAGAGACCAGGCCACCCCCACGCAGCCUCGAGCCCCUGGCCUCCUGUUCACCCCCACCUCCGGCCCCACGCGAGCCCACUGUCAACCCCAGGAUGUGGCUGGCAGAGGCCACUCAGGUGCCAACCGCUCAGACGCCCGUAAGAGGAGAAAUCCCCGUGCCUCCCAUGAAGCCCAGGGACGGCUGUGACAGUGAGGAGGCAGCACAGGGGCGCGUGGGGGACGGGCCCGCCGCCUCUCCCUCACCUGCAGCCCGGGGAGGUAGGAGCUGCUUCACGCCUGGACCAGUCCCAGCGGCCGCAGGCGGCCAGGGACAGGCUGCGCGCGGUGACAGCCGUGCGUCCCACUCUGCAAGGAGGUGAGGCCCACCUCCUGACCCCGCUGUGCGCCUCGCUGCCAGUCUGCGGGCCCGGGACACGCCCAGGCAGCGGCGCCAGAAGCCGCCAGCACAGUGCCGAGCCGUGGGUUGGCCCCAGGAGACCCCCACCCACAGAGUGCCCCUACCCAGGGACACGCAGAGCCACACGUGUCUGACACCGAGGUGAGGACACAUGCGUCUGCCCACAGAGCACACCUCACACGGGGUCUGUGCGUGUCACCCAGGGGCCUGUGCAACCUGCAAAGAUCCGGGAGAACAACCUGGGGGUGACUUCACCCCCACGACAGCCACGUCGACCCAGGCCAGCAUGUCAGCCAGAUCACAGGCACUAGCUGUGGGUGGGGAGGUCAGGAGGUGGCCAUCCCCCAAGACCAGCACGGAGGACAGCAGGCAGAUGGGGGGCCACUAGGAGCCAGGGCGGCUUCUGGCAACAGCCCCAGGCCCCAGGCUCACAAAGGCCCUACUUACUGCCUGAGUCCCAAGGCACUGCAGGCUGGCCCCGCAAGCAAAGUGGGGGCUCCCCUCUGCCCUGGACGGACCACGGGCACCUGCACCCUGUGCUAAGGCCCAGAGGUGGGGUAGGGUAGGGUAGGGAGGAGGAAGGUUUUGGGUCAAGGAUGAAGCUUUCCUUGGAUUUGAGUCCCCCAACCCCCAGUGCUGCACUGAGAGCCCCAGGUUCUGGCAGCUUGGACGCUGGCCCCUGACCUGGGCAUCUAGGGCCCACAGGAGUGAGGGCCUAGGGGAACACCCCCAGGGCCUGCCCUGCAGCCUCCGACCAUUCCUCACGCCCCACCCUGGAUAUGUUAAAACAGAGAAAACACGCGUGGGGAGAAGAGAAAGGGGAGAGCACGCCCCGGAUGCCGGCUGGUGGCGCUGGGCUGAGGCCUGAGCGCACAGCGCGAUUUCUUCACGUGCAGAGCUCCAGCUGCUCCACGGGUACUGACACCCCCCAGCUGCCGGUUCUGGGGUGACCCUGGCAGUGCAGAGGGCGGCUCCCCCUGGCUGGCCGGGCACGGAGCUGCCCAGCACCGCCCUGGACGGAACAGGAAGGGAGUCUGCAGGGGUGGAAGCAGCCCGAGGGCACGGGGUCAGAAAAGGGAGGCGCUGCUGGCCUCCCCAGAAGCAGGCCUCAACACAGACCCAGCGCCAACGGUGACACCCCAAGGCUGGGGCCCCGUGGGAGGGGCUGCCAGGUGGGAGAAAGUGGUGGCUCUGAGUCAGAGGGGAAGGUCACCUUCCCCUCCCAGGUCCACAGUCUUACCCAUGGGCCCUGGUGGGAGGCGGGGACCUCAGGCUACGGGCUCUGAAAGCGAGGUGUCAGGACCCUGCCCGUCCCAACUAGGGCCGCAGGUGCUCAGGGAAAAAGCAGCAGCGGCCUCGGUCUGCCCAGGUGGGGUCCACUCUGCCCUGUGCACGGCCACCUGCGUGUCUCCACUGUGCCUGGAGGGGGACGCCUGUUCAGGGCAGACGUCAGCUUCAGCCCGAGCACGGCCUCACAGGUGGGGUCGCCAGGGGUGGGGCACAGCCCCGCUCACAACUACAAGGUUGUGCGCACACAUGAUCCGCCAGAGAGGAGCAGCACCCUCACCAGCACCGGACAGGGCUGCUCUGAUUUUGUUUUCUUGCUCUGCGGGGCUGACGUCAGCCAUCACCCCCAGAUCCUCCGGUCUGCACCAGGCGAUGUGGCUGGGGGACCAGGGGGGAGCAGCCACCCAGGGAGAGGCCACACGAGCAGCGCCAGUGUCCCUGGAGCUCUGGACCCUGCCCAGCACCAUCAGGUAUGAGAGCUGUCCCCACGGAGAGAAGGACACUCUGUGCUGCAGGGCCAGGCCCUGCGGGCAGGACAGGACUGGGAUGGGAGUUCUGCCCCCCCGGGGACCAGGCACGGGCGCCGUGCUCGGUGAGUAACCCGCCUCCGGCAGCGUGUGCACAGCAGGUGCCCUAAACCGCCCAGCUCCCAGACUCUGGUCUGAGAUGGGAGGAAAACGGGGCCUGGAGUGCAGGCUGGGUCCCCCAGGUCCCCGGUUAGCCCGGGUCACCAUGAGGAAGCUACAGACACCGGGCCGAAGGCAGGAGGAGGUGAGUGAAGCGACGUACCAGGAGUCACAGGCCUCCAGGCGCCAGGCAGAGAAGACAGUCAGGAAGUCUCUCUGAAGACCCUAUUCUGCCCAACAUGCAGAAGGCCUCGGAUUGAAUCCCAGCCAGUUCCCCAGGGGCCAGGAAAAGAAAUCUGAAGUCACAGAUGGGACGAACAGCGGACUCCUCACCCGUCCCUACCCUCAGCUCACUGGGGGCCUGAGGGACCCGAAAGGGACAGAAGGCUGAUGUCCGGCAGGCUGAGUCCGGUCUGCACCCCAUGGCCAGAUCUACUCCAGCAAGAGGCCCAUGGAGGGUGCCACCAGGCACCGGGGUCAGUGCGCUCAGCUGACUGGGCCGUCCACUCCCAAUUCCCAACUGAAGCUGAGCACCCUCCAACUCGGUGCUGACCAACCCUGCUCAGACCUCUGGGCACAGGACUGGGGUCCAGGUCUGCAGAGAGACUAAGACACCCUGAUCAAGACGCCACACUUACCGAGGGGUCAGAGGUCCCGCAUCCUGCAGUGCCCACCGGGGGGCAGCUCCCGGCAGGCAGCCUGGUUCGGCAACAGAGGGGGGAGGUGCAACCGAGAGCUGGCCAGAACACUGCGGUCAACCUUUCCUCCCGUCCAAGAGAGCAAGCAGCUCCUUUGUCCAAGGGACCACCCAGGGACCGUGCAGAGAGCAAGUGCCCCAUGGGGCUGGACCACGGAGCGAGGGCUGCACCUCAGAGGCACAGUAUCCCUAAUUCCACGCGGACACUUCUGGAGCACCGCUGGGAGGGCGCUGGGUUAACACCCUCCAAAUAAGCUAGAAGUGGUGGUCUGGUCCCUGAACGGGCCCCAGACACGUGAGCACCCCGACAGAGGCCCACAGCGCCGGCGGGCAGGGCUCUGCAGGGACAUGGCACACGGGGUCCCAGGACAAGACCUGGACACCGAGGUGGCUGCAGCUGGGCGGUGGAGACGGUGGGCCGGGGGCCUCGGCACACGCCCAGGGCCACGUGGGGCGACGCUUCUUACUUCUCGCUCAUCAGCAAGCAGAGGGCCCCCGUUCAGUGAGCCGUCUACACAGUGACCAGAAUUAGCGUGAGCCCAUCUCCAAAGGUCUGCACAUCACCUGAGACCCUCAGCGGUAACGAGGCACAGCAAAGGGGUCAAAGGACAGAGCGUGGGAAAUGCAGGACCCAGCACCUGCAAGUGUCCCGCCUCUGCCCAUCGGUAAGGUCUCCACCCCAGGUCGGGUGACACCUCUGCAGCCACGGCCCCGCCACCUCCUCCUCCAGCAACCGAGGGACCUGGAGAAAUGCAUUUCCUCUUAAAUUAUGGUUGGUGACAACUGGUUAGAAGGACACCAUCAACCUGGCGUCAGGCCCGACAUCUGCACGGGGCCGGGUGAGCAGCACAGGUGCCCCCUCCGUCAGCUCCUGGAAGGUGGUCAGCCUCUCCCGGGAAGCAGCUUCACUUCUGGACACACACCACCGAGAAGGCAAAGGCUCCACAGAUCAGCCCAGGGGCCGCGUCCCAGUCUCACGGGUAUGAGCACACACCCUCCGGGUGAGCAGGGGCCCCCGUGUGACGCUCACACAGAGCUGCGUUUGCCCUCCCGAUGCACGUGCUCUGCUGCGUCACACACCUGCCUGCACCCCUCCCUUACCCUCUUCCGCAACCCCUCCUGUAUCUUCUCCAUCACCCCCUCCCACACCUUCUGUCACCAGGUCGCAGCUAACGAGGAGGGAAGCCUCCCAAGGGCACACGGAGAGCCGCGCUGCCGGCUGGGGAGAGCAGCCAGUCUCAGAUCUGAGCUGGAGGCAGCUGCUCACCCACACGGCGCCUGCACCACUCUGCCGGCGCGUGCACGGUCAGGCGACAGGGACAGCUGUGUACCAAGGGCACAGGCCGGCUGUGCUCACCCAACACCCAAGGAGCUUCUAAUUUCAGGGAAGGUUUCUGGGAAGUGCGGGGUGGACGGGGGAGAGGGACAGCCGCUGUGUCUUGCCCAGGAGGCACAGCCUGGGAGUAAGAUCUCGGGCCAGGUCGCAGCACCAACCUCCUCCAGGAAGCCAUAAAUGACAGCGCGCCCCUGGAGGCCAGCACGGUGGAAGCGGCAGGAGCACCCAUACGCCCAGUUCUUAAACAGGAGAUAGUGGCCCCGGCCAGGCCCCCGAGGGCCGCGAGCGAGGUGGCCGAGCUCAGUCCGACGCGCGGCUGCAGGGGCUGCUGUUGGAGCAGCACCGCCACGGCUACGUGAGCUUCAUUUACGUGUGGUGGAGAACACAAGGCAAAACUCAGCUCUGGCUCCCACAUGUCCCGCCUGCGCCGCGACCUGGGGACGCCCCGUCACAUCUCCCGAAGGGGAAGGCUGUCAGCGCAGCUCCCUACGACCAGCUGCUCCCUCACGCCGACCAUCUCGGAGAAAACCGGGCUGCCCACGGCGGUUAAGGUUCGGGUGGUGAAGGCACUAGGAAUGGUCCCGCGGCCCGAGCCCCCGCCCCACCAACGCCUGGACGACACCAGAGCACAAGAAACAAAAGAUGAAACAGGAAAGGGGGGUUCGUCAAAAUCAAAACUUCUGUGCUUCAAAGGACGCCACCAAGAAAGUGAAAAAACAGCCCACAGAAUGGAAGAAAAAAGUUGCAAAUCAUGUCUGAUAAGGGACCUGUAUCCAGAUAAAGAGCUGCCAAGCUGACAAAAAAACCACCAACAAGGCAAAGGAUUUGAACAGGCACUUCUCCGAAGACACACCCACGGCCAACAGGCACAAGACGACGUCCCCGUCACUGACCGCCGGGGAAACGCACGUCACAUCCGACUACACCCCACGGUGGCUACGAGCAGAAACCAGCAAACAAGUGCUGGUGAGGACGGAGGGGAACUGGGAGCUGUCGUGCCACUGGUGGGAAGGUAACGGGGGCAACUGCCAGGGAAGCAGCCUGACGCUUCCUCAAGAAGUCAAACGCAGAGCUACCACGUGAUCUAGCAACCCCAGGCGUCCGUAAACACUGGAAGGGACUGAGAAGGGGACCCCCAGGCCUUGCCCUGUAACUUUCCAAGCUGUCACAACUGCAGGAACCCAGGCCGAGGAGCCGGGAGCACCCGAGACCCCUCACACCCGCGCGCUGAGUCCACAACCACCUCAGCGAAGAGCACGGUUCACAGAGCACGGCGAGGAGCCCCUCUGCCCCAUGCGAUGGCUGCAGCUGUGUCAAGCGGGACACGGAGUGCUGCUGGGGACGUGGAGAGCCUGGGGCCUGCUGCGCCACUGGUGAGGGCACGGCGCCACAGCAGCACUAACGUAAUGGCCACAACGUGGAAACGACCCACGUGUCCAUCAGCAGGUGAACGUAUACGGAAAAUGGGAUCCGGGCCAUCCACACACUGGAGCAUCACUUGGCCUGGACAAGGAGUGAGGUGCUGACACUCCGACACGGUGGCACCUUGAACACAUGGCACUCGGGGGAUGGAGCCAGACGCAGGCCGCCGCUUGGGGUUCCACUGACGUGAAGCAUCCAGAACAAGCAAAUCCAUAGACAGACAGUGAUCAGUGGGCGCUGGGCGUGGGGGUGCUGGCAAUGUUCUAACAUGAGGUUAAUGGUGACAGUUGUGCACAGUAAAAACCACUGAGCUGUAUAUACUCUCUGAAGGGGUGAACUCCAUGGUGUGUGAUUACAUCUCAAUAAAGUUGUUAUGGUGCCUAUUAAAAAAAGGAAAUGAAUUGUUGGUUGAAAAACCAAAGCACUGAGGUCAAUGGUUCCGACACACGUUCCUCCCAGCAAAGGACGAAGCCCCGAGGAGCAGCUCCAGGCAGCCAUGGGAGCAGCCACGAGAAACACCAGAUGCGUGGCAGAGGUCAUGGGAGGUGCAGUCCUCACAGCCAGGGGUCCCUCGGGGCCUGGCGUGGGCGUCUUGGCUGUGAGGGGACCGUGGUAAGGACUCUGCAGAGGGUGGGCAGCCCUCAGGGAGGGGGCACAAGCAUGACCCGGAGGCCACUAUGUGCUAGGUGGGGGACAGGCCCCUGCAUCAGGCCUGGGUGGGACAGGCAGCCAGGGUACCUACCGGACGACAAUGUGGCCCUAGCCAGGGUCCUGCAGGGGAGGCUGGGGCAGCUCACACGCAGGGGUUCAGGCCAGAGGGGUGUCCUCAUGAUCCCAGAGGCCCAGCCUGGCCCCCAUGGGAGCCCGACCCCCAGCUCUCAAACCUGGUGCCAAUUCACACGUUGGGGCAGAUGACACCGCUCAGACAGCAGUUCACACAGCAGCGGACAGGGGGUGCUCUCAGGUCAUCGGAUGGCAUCCACCUGCAGGUACCCACCGUACCCACCCCCUGACCCUUGGCACUUGAGGACCCACAUACCCCUAGAUGACAUGGCCACCUCCCAGGCUGGACGCCCGGGGGCAGCGUAUUCUGGAGAAUCGACUCUGGCGUCAUCUGUGGUGGCACCACCAUCUCGUGAACCACUCAAGGACCUCACACCCCUGAGAACACAGCUGCGCCCCUCGGACAGAAGCCUCAGAGCCAGCAGGGCCUCGGAAAAGCGGCUACAAUAAAAAUACGUCUUUUUUCAACGGACAGAUUUUAGCACGGAAUUGCACUCCUAAGGGAUAUUCCCCGGUUAGAAAUUCGCUGCACACUCAGAGCUGAGGCAGGAAUAAGCGAUUACAUUACCCCCGGAUUCCAGGUCAGCAGAAAAAGAGCCUGAACCACAAAUAAAGAGAUGGUAAGUUCCUGAGGGACAGCACCCUACCCAGGGGGGCUGUCACAACAGCCAACCCCAAGAAGCUGCCAGGCCACGACCUGGGAGCGGGCGCAGCAGCUUCCUCCGCACACUCUUGACCCCAGGGACGGCCCAGCAGCCCCUCACGUGGGGCCGAGCUCAGGAGGAGAUGCCCCGGCCGCAGGCCCAGAGGAGGGGCAGAGUGAAAACCCCGGCACAAGACAGUCCCGCCGGCCCAGGGAGGCCCACUGCGCCCCCGUGGGCCCGUGCGGCCAGGGCCAGGGCGAGCACACGUCCUCACCCCGUCAGGAAGCAGGGAGGGCCCCCGAUAACGGGUAACCGCAGACCGGCAUGGACCCCAGAGAUGGACAGGUGGGUGGGAGCCACCACGCAGACGCCCACAGACCCUACACACGAGGGGUGGGUGGCCCUUAGGGUAGGAACCCCAAAACAGGUCCAGCACAAGAGGAGCAAACGCAGAAGGAACCCAUGCGUGUGGACGGGCCAGUGGCGCGGACCCUGCCAGCUCCCGGGCACGUCACCCCACUCAGAAAUGCCCACUUCGCCAGAAUCUCCUGCCACGGGGCAAGCUGGGUGCUGAGUGGGCCAGAGCAGCACCCUGGGGGGUGGGAUGCGGGGGUCACCCCAGUUCCUGGAGGUGGGCCCAGGGCCACAUGCUGGGCCAGCCCUGCCGGGCCCAGAGCUCACUGGUCAGAUGCUGCGGGCCCCCCCACCCCAAGGCCUGCAGAGAAAGGCAGCCCCUCCCCCAGUGAGGGCAGGGCCUCCGGGGCCACAGCCCCUAACCUGUGCUCUGUGGCAGGGCCCGCGAGAGCCCCCGCCGCCCCCCAGGCCGACCCUGAGGCCCGGGCUCAGCACCCGGCGCCUGAGCCGGCCCAGGGCCUGCGCUGCGGGCCGCUCCUGGGGCCCCGGUCUGGGCGCUGCAGGGCUGCUUCUGUAAGCGCCAUUACUAUUGUCUGCGUGAUGGUUCACGCCGCAUGUUAUGCUUGAGUUAACCUAUUUUCUGUUUAUUGUGGAACAGAGGAAGCAGGUUAAAUCUGCAAGACUACCCCAAACCCCAAAAUGAAGCAAAAAUAGCAAUUUUGAAGAUUCGCUUUGAUUUUUUUUUAAUUUAAGUAGGUCAUUUCUGUUACUUCCACACUGUCGAUAAGAGUGAGUUAAGACUUUUCUAA